UACGAAGGGGGCUAGCGUUGCUCGGAAUCACUGGGCGUAAAGCGCACGUAGGCGGGUCCUUAAGUCAGGGGUGAAAUCCCGGAGCUCAACUCCGGAACUGCCUUUGAUACUGGGGAUCUUGAGUCCGGAAGAGGUGAGUGGAACUCCGAGUGUAGAGGUGAAAUUCGUAGAUAUCGAGAGGAACACCGGUGGCGAAGGCGGCCUUCUGGACAGUGACUGACGCUGAGACGCGAAAGCGUGGGGAGCAAACAGG
rnacentral:rRNA from 1 species